rnacentral:rRNA from 1 species
AGGAGCUUGCUCCUGUGGAAAGUGGCAGACGGGUGAGUAACGCGUGGGAAUCUACCCAAUGGUUCGGAAUAACUCCGGGAAACGGGAGCUAAUACCGGAUACGCCCUUCGGGGGAAAGAUUUAUCGCCAUUGGAUGAGCCCGCGUCGGAUUAGCUUGUUGGUGAGGUAAAAGCUCACCAAGGCGACGAUCCGUAACUGGUCUGAGAGGAUGAUCAGCCACACUGGGACUGAGACACGGCCCAGACUCCUACGGGAGGCAGCAGUGGGGAAUAUUGCGCAAUGGGGGAAACCCUGACGCAGCCAUGCCGCGUGAGUGAAGAAGGCCUUAGGGUUGUAAAACUCUUUCACCGGUGAAGAUAAUGACGGUAGCCGGAGAAGAAGCCCCGGCCAACUCCGUGCCAGCAGCCGCGGUAAUACGGAGGGGGCUAGCGUUGUUCGGAUUUACUGGGCGUAAAGCGCGCGUAGGCGGGCUGGUCAGUUGGGGGUGAAAUCCCGAGGCUCAACCUCGGAACUGCCCUCAAUACUGCCAGUCUUGAGUUCGAGAGAGGUGAGUGGAAUUCCUAGUGUAGAGGUGAAAUUCGUAGAUAUUAGGAAGAACACCAGUGGCGAAGGCGGCUCACUGGCUCGA